CAUACAGAGCAGGCAGCAUAGGCUGCCUCUGAGGCACUAAGGAAAGCAGAGGUUAGCCUUCCACAGACCAUUCCAAAGAAGGAUGUUUGCCUACAUUCAGGAAAACCCUUCUUCUCCCCACGGAUCCCUUCCACAGCCUUUCUGACUGAGGUGCACCAGGGCCCUCCUUUCUUCCAGAUUCUGGCUCAACAUUCUCUUCCUUGCCAAGGUUUUACAGGCAUACCCUCAUAUCACACAACCUUUCCACCCCUCAAACUCUCUAGGUACCAGUCUGGCCCACUUGUCUCACACACACCCCUAUUGCAGCAUCUUGCAGACGCCCACCUCAACAAGGAAAAAGGACCAAUCCAAGACCAGGAACUCUCUGGCCAGGCUGCCCGUGACUAUGUCCUGCAUCUUACUCUGUGGUUCACAUAGUAAGGGGCUUGACCCUCAAAGCAGCUGAAGGUCAGAGAAAGUGACCGGCAUACCCUGAUCAUCCUGAAGCUUGGAUUAGAAUUCAGCUCUGUGAUGAUUGCAGAACUUGGACUCAUCCCAUUCAUUUAUGCUGGUACUACAGGCCUCAAAGUCUUCCUUUGCUUGAAGCUCCUGACUCUCCCAGGGGACCUGGAGCCUCAGCUCUCUGGCUGAAGAUGCAGGACGGCAGACCUGCGCAUUGUCCUACGGGAGGUUCUCCUACUCAGUCCCCUGUGGUUGGUUCCCCCAAACAUCCAUGGCCAGUCCCUUUGCCUAGGCUUGGGUUCAGCUAUCUAGACUAAACUAUAUGACCUUUCUGGCCAAAGUUCUCUGUUUAUGCAAAUAAAUGGAUAUAAAACCACA